UACGUAGGAGGCAAGCGUUGUCCGGAAUUACUGGGCGUAAAGAGUAUGUAGGCGGAUACUUAAGUAGAAAGUGAAAGGUUGGAGCUCAACUCCGACACUGCUUCCUAUACUGGGUAUCUUGAGUGCCGGAGAGGAAAGCGGAACGACACGUGUAGCGGUGAAAUGCGUUGAUAUGUGUCGGAACACCAAUGGCGAAGGCAGCUUUCUGGACGGAGCCGCAAGGCUUAAAACUGACGCUGAGAUACGAAAGCCGAGGGAGCGAACAGGA
rnacentral:rRNA from 1 species